AAUAUUCUGAACAUUUAUUUACGUUAAAUUAGUAUAUAUUAGUAAUAAUUAAUUACUCUUUUAAUAUUAUAAUACAGUAUUAUCAAUAUUAUUAUGAAAAGAGCACGGGUCAUAAAACUAUUGGAGGCAGCAAAAUCAGGACUACAGCCUAAACGAUUAUCAUAUGAUAGAUCUAUUAAAGGAAACCUUUCUAAUGUCCACGAUGAUAAAACAGAUUAAAUUAUACCAAAGGCUAUCCAAGUAAUGAUAAAGAACGCAGUUGGUUACAGUCAGUUGAUUUCAACAGUUUACCAGAAAAAAAUAUUUCUAAUGUUCAUGUUAAUACAACAGAGCCUGUUUAUCCAAAUAAUGUGAGUUGUUCAUGGAUAUCCUAAAGACAUAAUAUUUAAGUAAAUUUUACUAUUCUGCAAAACUGUUGUUUUAUCUUUUUUUCAUUAAAUAUAUACAUAUUUUAUCUUAUAAGAACAGACAUAAUACAUAU